rnacentral:rRNA from 1 species
UACAGAGGGUGCGAGCGUUAAUCGGAAUUACUGGGCGUAAAGCGCGCGUAGGCGGCUUUUCAAGUCGAUUGUGAAAUCCCCGGGCUUAACCUGGGAACUGCAGUCGAGACUGUCUAGCUAGAGUAUGGGAGAGGGAAGUGGAAUUUCAGGUGUAGCGGUGAAAUGCGUAGAUAUCUGAAGGAACAUCAGUGGCGAAAGCGGCUACCUGGCCCAUUCUUGACGCUGAGGCGCGAAAGCUAGGGGAGCAAACGGG